rnacentral:siRNA from 1 species
GGUGGUCUCUGCGAGGCUGGUGUU